rnacentral:rRNA from 1 species
GUCCACGCCGUAAACGAUGGGUGCUAGGUGUCGCGGGCUUUGACCCCUGCGGUGCCGCAGCUAACGCAUUAAGCACCCCGCCUGGGGAGUACGGCCGCAAGGCUAAAACUCAAAGGAAUUGACGGGGGCCCCGCACAAGCGGUGGAGCAUGUGGUUUAAUUCGACGCAACGCGCAGAACCUUACCUGGGCUAGAAAAUGCGAGAACCUGGUUGAAAGGUCGGGGUGCUCUUCGGAGAACUCGUAGUUAGGUGCUGCAUGGCUGUCGU